rnacentral:rRNA from 1 species
GAUGAACGCUAGCUACAGGCUUAAUACAUGCAAGUCGCAGGACUGGCGCACGGGUGAGUAACGCGUAUCCAAUCUUCCCAUAACUACGGGAUAACCCGUUGAAAGACGGCCUAAUACCGUAUGGUUAUGGAUGGGGAUGGGUCUGAUUGGCUUGUUGGCGGCGUAACGGCCCUCCAAGGCGACGAUCAUUAGGGGGUCUGAAGGGAGGCUACACCACAAUGGAACUACGACCCGAACCAAAACCCGACGCGAGGGAAGAGUAAGGUAUAUAGGUCAAUGAGCUAGAGUCUGAACCAGCCAAGUAACGUACAGGAUGACGGCGUAUGGAUUGUAUACUGCUUUUAUGUGAGGAUAGGUACCACAUGAAUAAGUACCGGCUAAUUCCGUGCCAGCAGCCGCGGUAAUAC